rnacentral:rRNA from 1 species
GAUGAACGCUGGCGGCGUGCUUAACACAUGCAAGUCGAGCGAGGACUUCGGUCCUAGCGGCGGACGGGUGAGUAACGCGUGGGAACGUGCCCCUUGGUACGGAAUAGCCCCGGGAAACUGGGAGUAAUACCGUAUGAGCUCUACGGAGGAAAGAUUUAUCGCCAAGGGAUCGGCCCGCGUUGGAUUAGGUAGUUGGUGGGGUAAUGGCCUACCAAGCCGACGAUCCAUAGCUGGUUUGAGAGGAUGAUCAGCCACACUGGGACUGAGACACGGCCCAGACUCCUACGGGAGGCAGCAGUGGGGAAUCUUAGACAAUGGGCGCAAGCCUGAUCUAGCCAUGCCGCGUGAGCGAUGAAGGCCUUAGGGUUGUAAAGCUCUUUCAGCUGGGAAGAUAAUGACUGUACCAGCAGAAGAAGCCCCGGCUAACUCCGUGCCAGCAGCCGCUGUAAUAC